GCCUCAUUUUUCCCGGCUCCUAUUUAAGAUGGAGUUGCUCUGGUUCACACACCUCUGACAUGAUCAUUGCCCACUGCGGCUUCCACCUCCCGGGUUCAAGAGAUCCUCCUGCCUCACCCUCCCAAGGUGCUGGGACUACAGGUGUGUGCCACCAGCUCAGCUAAUUUUUGUAUUUUUUGUAGAGAUGGUGUUUUUCCAUGUUGCCCAGGCUGGUCUCAAACUCCUGGGCUCAAGCAAUCCUUCUGUCUCAGCCUCCCAAAGUACUGGGAUUACAGGCAUGUCCCACCAUGCCCAGACUAAUAUUUACUUUUAAUCAGACUAAGAUAGGGUUACUACUUGAGUUGCUAUGGCUCCAGCUGAAAGAAAGCCCGUGCAGUCAUAUCACGCGUAAACAUUUGCUUUAUGCUAAAAAUAUGGUGGACCUGGCAUUACAGCUAUUACAAAUCUCCUAAGAUGUCUCGGGUAGUGUAUUAGUUACUUUUCAUACUGCUAUGAAGAAAUACUGGAAACUGGGUAAUUUAUAAAGAAAAAGAGGUUUAAUGUACUCACAGUUCCACAAGGCUGGAGAGGCCUCAGAAUCAUGGUGGAAGGCAAAGAAGGAGCAAAAAGGUAUGUCUUCCAUGGCAGCAGGCAAGAGAGCACGUGCAGGGAAACUGCCCUUUAUAAAACCAUCAGAUUUAGUGAGAUGUAUUCACUAUCACGAGAACAGUAUGGGAAAAACCUGCCCCCAUGAUUCGAUUACCUCCUACCGGGUCCCUCCCACGACACAUGGGGAUUAUGGGAACUACAAUUCAAGAUGAAAUUUGGGUGGGGACGCAGCCAAACCAUAUCGGGUAGCAACAACCUAGGGUCAGUUUUGCAGGUGGUAAAGCCAUUUACCAAGAUAGUUGUAGGUAAAGAAGGGCAGAUUUAUUAGAGAAAUUGUGAAAAUAUGUUGCAGUGGGCAGCUCAGCAGAGAAGGGGCUACCUGCAAAGAGGCAAGGGCUGGAGGAAAGUUUUAUAGGGUCCUGCUGAAGGGUGCUACGUGUGGAAUGAGGUCAUUGUGCCCGCAGGUUGUUUGUGAUUAGCUGUCUCUAACAAUUGUUCAUACAAUAAUUGUUCAUUAUUGUUCUCAACUUGGGGCUCUCCCCAACCUGGGGACCCUUCCUUAUUGUUGCUUACUUAUCAGGUCUCCACAUAAAGGUGUGGAAACUUCAUUCAUUCAUAUCUUCAACACAAAUUGUAGGUAGCCUGUUUUUUAAAACAUUUAUUCAACAAAUAUUUAGUCCAAGCCACUAUUACUUACUACCUUCUCUACUAUUGUAUGGACUUUUAACUAUCUCUGACACUAUUCACUAUUCUUCCACAUUCUCUAUUAUUUAUACCUAUGGUAAAAUUUGCCAGUUUGACCAUACAACUAAUACUCACAGGGAAUAUAUAGAGUCUAGAAGAAAAUAUACAGGUCCUUAAAGGCUGCCCUGCCAACAAAACCAUAACGCAGGAACAAACAUCACAACUAUGCCAAAUAAUCAAUCCUACAAUGUCCAAAAUUUUACUUUAAAACUGGAAUUACCAGACUUCCUUUCUGCAUUAACCAGUUUAACUAGACAGUAACGAAAUAUUCCUACUUUAUGCUGUGAUAGUUUGUUUGUUUGUUUGUUUGUUUAUUUAUUUAUUUAUUUAAGACAGAGUUUCGCUCUUGUUGCCCAGGCUGGAGUGCAGUGGCACGAUCUCAGCUCACCACAACCUCCGCCUCCCAGGUUCAAGCGAUUCUCCUGCCUCAGCCUCCCGAGUAGCUGGGAUUACAGGCAUGUACCACCACGCCCGGGUAAUUUUGUAUUUUUAGUAGAGACGGGGGGUUUCUCCAUGUUGGUCAGGCUGGUCUAGAACUCCAGACCUCAGGUGAUACCCCUGCCUCAGCCUCCCAAUGUGCUGGGAUUACAGCUGUGAAGCCACCGCGCCCGGCUGCUGUGAUAGUUGAGAUGUAAACCAAAAAUAAAAUUCUAAGCCACCCAGUCCGACUGAAUGGACCCUUCCUGUUGAGCAAGGACAUUCCAAAGUAAACUGAAAAGACCAGCUUAGGCCAUGAUGGGAAGGGGAGGUGUCAACAUGCCUCAUUCUACCUUCCUCCCUCUGGAAUCCAGACACAACUGACCAGCAUUAACAUUAAAACAGAGAUCUUAAGCUGGGCACAGUGGCUCAUGCCUAUAAUCCCAGCACUUUGGGAGGCCAAGGUGGGAUCACCUGAGGUCAGAAGUUCAAGACCAGCCUGGCCAGUAUGGUGAAGCCAUGUCUCUACUAAAAAUACAAAAUUAGCCGGACAUUGUGGUGCACGUCUGUCAUCCCAGCAAGGCAGGCGAAUCACUUGAACCCAGGAAGCAGAGGUUGCAGUGAGCCAGGAUCAUGCCAUUGCACUCCAGCCUGGUCAACAGAGCGAGACUCCGCCUCAUUAAAAAAAAAAAAAAAAAAAAAAA
rnacentral:lncRNA from 1 species